rnacentral:tRNA from 1 species
ACGUGGCUGGCUCAGCCAGUAGAGCAUGAGACUCUUGAUCUCAGGGUUGUGAGUUCAAGCCCCAAGUCAGGUG